UGGGGAAUAUUGGACAAUGGGCGAAAGCCUGAUCCAGCCAUGCCACGUGUGUGAAGAAGGCCUUUUGGUUGUAAAGCACUUUAAGUGGGGAGGAAAAGCUUAUGGUUAAUACCCAUAAGCCCUGACGUUACCCACAGAAUAAGCACCGGCUAACUCUGUGCCAGCAGCCGCGGUAAUACAGAGGGUGCAAGCGUUAAUCGGGAUUACUGGGCGUAAAGCGCGCGUAGGUGGUUAUUUAAGUGAGGUGUGAAAGCCCCGGGCUUAACCUGGGAAUUGCAUUUCAGACUGGGUAACUAGAGUACUUUAGGGAGGGGUAGAAUUCCACGUGUAGCGGUGAAAUGCGUAGAGAUGUGGAGGAAUACCGAAGGCGAAGGCAGCCCCUUGGGAAUGUACUGACGCUCAUGUGCGAAAGCGUGGGUAGCAAACAGGAUUAGAUACCCUGGUAGUCCACGCCGUAAACGAUGUCUACCAGUCGUUGGGUCUUUUAAAGACUUAGUGACGCAGUUAACGCAAUAAGUAGACCGCCUGGGGAGUACGGCCGCAAGGUUA
rnacentral:rRNA from 1 species